UACGGGGGGGGCAAGCGUUGUUCGGAAUUACUGGGCGUAAAGGGCUCGUAGGUGGCCAACUAAGUCGGACGUGAAAUCCCUCAGCUUAACUGGGGAACUGCGUCCGAUACUGGAUGGCUUGAGUUGGGAGAGGGAUGCGGAAUUCCAGGUGUAGCGGUGAAAUGCGUAGAUAUCAGGAAGAACACCCGUGGCGAAGGCGGCUCUCUGGGACGGUACUGACGCUGAGACGCGAAAGCGUGGGGAGCGAACAGG
rnacentral:rRNA from 1 species